rnacentral:rRNA from 1 species
AUUGAACGCUGGCGGCAGGCUUAACACAUGCAAGUCGAGCGAGCGGCGGACGGGUGAGUAAUGCUUGGGAAUCUAGCUUAUGGAGGGGGAUAACUACGGGAAACUGUAGCUAAUACCGCGUACCAUAGGAUGAGCCCAAGUGGGAUUAGGUAGUUGGUGAGGUAAGGGCUCACCAAGCCGACGAGCGCUAGCUGGUCUGAGAGGAUGACCAGCCACACUGGGACUGAGACACGGCCCAGACUCCUACGGGAGGCAGCAGUGGGGAAUAUUGGGCAAUGGGGGCAACCUGACGCAGCAAUGCCGCGUGAAUGAAGAAGGCCUUCGGGUUGUAAAGUUCUUUCGGUAGGGAGGCGUUAACUACAGAAGAAGCACCGGCUAACUCCGUGCCAGCAGCCGCGGUAAUAC